rnacentral:rRNA from 1 species
UAGGGAAUCUUCCACAAUGGACGAAAGUCUGAUGGAGCAACGCUGCGUGAGUGAUGAAGGGUUUCGGCUCGUAAAACUCUGUUGUUGGAGAAGAACGGGUGUCAGAGUAACUGUUGACAUCGUGACGGUAUCCAACCAGAAAGCCACGGCUAACUACGUGCCAGCAGCCGCGGUAAUACGUAGGUGGCAAGCGUUGUCCGGAUUUAUUGGGCGUAAAGCGAGCGCAGGCGGUUUUUUAGGUCUGAUGUGAAAGCCUUCGGCUUAACCGGAGAAGUGCAUCGGAAACCGGGAGACUUGAGUGCAGAAGAGGACAGUGGAACUCCAUGUGUAGCGGUGAAAUGCGUAGAUAUAUGGAAGAACACCAGUGGCGAAGGCGGCUGUCUGGUCUGCAAACUGACGCUGAGGCUCGAAAGCAUGGGUAGCGAACAGGAUUAGAUACCCUGGUAGUCCAUGCC